rnacentral:rRNA from 1 species
UGGGGAAUUUUGGACAAUGGGCGAAAGCCUGAUCCAGCAAUGCCGCGUGUGUGAAGAAGGCCUUCGGGUUGUAAAGCACUUUUGUCCGGAAAGAAAUCCUUGGCUCUAAUACAGUCGGGGGAUGACGGUACCGGAAGAAUAAGCACCGGCUAACUACGUGCCAGCAGCCGCGGUAAUACGUAGGGUGCAAGCGUUAAUCGGAAUUACUGGGCGUAAAGCGUGCGCAGGCGGUUUGCUAAGACCGAUGUGAAAUCCCCGGGCUCAACCUGGGAACUGCAUUGGUGACUGGCAGGCUAGAGUAUGGCAGAGGGGGGUAGAAUUCCACGUGUAGCAGUGAAAUGCGUAGAGAUGUGGAGGAAUACCGAUGGCGAAGGCAGCCCCCUGGGCCAAAUACUGACGCUCAUGCACGAAAGCGUGGGGAGCAAACAGGAUUAGAUACCCUGGUAGUCCACGCCCUGAACGAUGUCAACUAGUUGUUGGGGAUUCAUUUCCUUAUAACGUAGCUAACGCGUGAAGUUGACCGCCUGGGGAGUACGGUCGCAAGAUUAAAACUCAAAUGAAUUGACGGGGUCAUAGCUGUUUCCU